rnacentral:tRNA from 1 species
UCCCUGAUGGUCUAGUGGUUAGGACUUUGCGCUUUCACUGCUGAGGGCCCAGGUUCGAUCCCUGGUCAGGGAA